UAGGCCAUUUCGGGCACGCCGUA
rnacentral:siRNA from 1 species